ACUGAGCGGCGAUGUAUAAGGUUGUUGGUGUCUGUUGUUUUGUGGGAUUUAAAGUAUAUUGUUGUCUACAUGAUGCUAGACAAGAUAGCUAAAGACAAAGUUGGUUGGAUAUAUAAUGGAUGAAAAAAGGAGCCAAAUGUCGCAAACGAUUUUUUGUUGAUAAAAGUGUUGGAUCGAUUGGUGCC